GGUCGAUGAUGUGUUGGCAUGUAUUAUCUGAAUUCUGCUGAUGUGUAAUCACACUUUAGCUCUAGAAUUACGCUGAGACCUU
rfam:Cricetulus griseus cell line CHO-K1, whole genome shotgun sequence.